AGCGGACGCAACGCUUAUAUGGGGCCCGACGCGAAAGGCGGACGCAACGCUUAUAUACAGAGCCCCGCCUCCCUGACCUUCGCCUGUGUGAAAAGCCACAAAUACGUUUUAUUUUUAAUAAAAAUUAUGGCCUGUAGCAUAUCACGACACUGCUGCCACCUACAUUCUUUUUGGUUUAGACUGUAAGCUAACAGUUGCAACAGGUCUCGUACUGCCGGAGCACCACCAGCUUCCCGUGAACACAUGUGUGCCGCGCUUACAUGUUUAUCGUGUAUUGUGUGCGUUUAUUGCGUGCUUAUCGUACGCGACAUUCGUCGACUGGGCAUUUUCCGCGUGUUGGGGCGUUCUCCUGCCUUGAUCCAGUGGCGGAUGAUGGUCGUUGUUCGUUGCCACUCAACACAGCCUCACGGGACGCACAGCUUUGUGUCCGCGCUCAAAAGUGCUUUCUUGCUUCGUUCAUCGAUUACUCACGUUGAUCGAGUGAUCGAGUGUACUUCCGAAGACAAUCCGCGUCCGAGUGUUUUGACAAGCGGCGACCGCGGUUCCACAGGAGCGGAAGCUUGAGCCUUUUGACGAGCGACUGUGCCAAACUUGGGUAAGUUGAAGAAGGUCGCUGAACUACGUAACUUUGUUACUUCAUUGCAUGAAAACUGUUUGCAGGAACCGUCGUGUUGGCACAGCGAGGAUGAUCAACAGAUACCCGAUAGGCAGCGAUGAGAGCUGUUCAUGGCACCGACACAGAGGACAGAUUGCAGUACAAGAUAGGAGCAUACUUCCUGCAAGCCCGGGCAAGCCAUAAUGAGUGGUUUCAAAUACAGCAACUGUACCACCACAACAGUGCAGCACAGGAGAGCCUAUCGUCAGUGCCGCGUCGAGAAAUUAAAUAAAAAAGCACUUACUCCUGGAAACUUCUCGUAUCAUCUUAUUGGUUUGUUUGUGAUUAUAAAACUGCACUUUCAUGG